rnacentral:rRNA from 1 species
CCGACAGCGACGUGCGGAGGACAUUA